AUGUUCCAGGAGUUGAAGUUAAUAUUUCAAGCAAAUGCUCGGAUUGAGAGAUAUGAAGUCUCCAAUAAGUUCUAUAGCUGUAAGAUGGAGGAGAAUAGUUCUGUCAGUGAACAUAUACUCAAAAUGUCUGGGUAUAAUAAUCACUUGAUUCAACUGGGAGUUAAUCUUCCUGAUGAUAGUGUCAUUGACAGAAUUAUUCAAUCACUGCCACCAAGCUACAAGAGCUUCAUGAUGAACUAUAAUAUGCAAGGGAUGGACAAGACUAUUCCCGAGCUCUUCGCAAUGCUAAAAGCUGCGGAGGUAGAAAUCAAGAAGGAGCAUCAAGUGUUGAUGGUCAAUAAGACCACCAGUUUCAAGAAAAAGGGCAAAGGGAAGAAGAAGGGGAACUUCAAAAAGAACAGAAAACAAGUUGCUGCUCAAGAGAAGAAACCCAAGUCUGGACCUAAGCCUGAAACUGAGUGCUUCUACUGCAAGCAGACUGGACACUGGAAGCAGAACUGCCCCAAGUAUUUGGCGGAUAAGAAGGAUGGCAAAGUGAACAAAGGUAUAUGUGAUAUACAUGUUAUUGAUGUGUACCUUACUAAUGCUCGCAGUAGCACCUGGCUAUUUGAUACUGGUUCUGUUGCUAAUAUUUGCAACUCGAAACAGGGACUACGGAUUAAGCGAAGAUUGGCUAAGGAAGAGGUGACGAUGCGCGUGGGAAAUGGUUCCAAAGUCGAUGUCAUCGCGGUCGGCACGCUACCUCUACAUUUACCAUCGGGAUUAGUUUUAGACCUGAAUAAUUGUUAUUUGGUGCCAGCGUUAAGCAUGAACAUUAUAUCUGGAUCUUGUUUGAUGCGAGACGGUUAUUCAUUUAAAUCAGAGAAUAAUGGUUGUUCUAUUUAUAUGAGUAAUAUCUUUUAUGGUCAUGCACCCUUGAAGAGUGGUCUAUUUUUAUUAAUCUCGAUAGUAGUGAUACACAUAUUCAUAAUGUUGAAGCCAAAAGAUGCAGAGUUGAUAAUGAUAGUGCAAAUUAUUUGUGGCACUGCCGUUUGGGUCAUACUGGUGUAA
rnacentral:rRNA from 1 species